CAUGCAUGUGUAAGUACAGCCCUUGUACGGUGAAACUGGCAAUGGGUCAAUAAAUCGGUUUUAAGAUACUUGAUAGUCUACCUACUUGGAAUAACCCUAGUAAUUCUAGAGGUAAUACAUGAAGCCUUCGGGUGAAUUUAUUAGAUACAACCACACCAGUGGUGAGUCAUAGUAACUAAUCUGAUCGGUGGAAGCCGACGGUUCAUUCUCGAUUCCGCCCUAUCAGCUUUCCACGGGAGGGUAUUGGGCUACCGUGGCGUUAACGGGUAACGGAGAAUUAGGGUUCCAUUCCGGAGAGGGAGCCUGAGAAACGGCUACCACAUCCAAGGAAGGGAGGAGGCGCGUAAAUUACCCAAUCCUAAUGGAGGGAGGUAGUGACAAUAAAUACUGACGCUGGACUCUACAGUCUGGUAAAGAAUGAGAACAGGUUAAAACCCUAUCCAGGACCCUUGGAGGGCAAGUCUGGUGCCAGCAGCCGCGGUAAUUCCGCUCCAAUAGCGUAUAUUAAAGUUGUUGGCGUUAAAAAGCUCGUAUUGAAUUUCGGAUCCGCCACUCCCCCCCCUUCAUUGGGGGCAUGUGGAGUUCCUCCCCCGCCUUUGGCGUCCUUUACUGGGAAAAAAUUAGAGUGUUCCAAGCACGCAAUCGCUUGAAUACAUUACCGUGGAAUAAUAAGAUAGGAUCUUCGUCUAUUUUGUUGGGUGCCGACUGAGAUAAUGAUUAAUAGGGAUAGUUGGGGGCGGCUGUCUUGGGGGGCCGGAGGGGGAGGCCUCCUUAGAUUUACGCCCCACAACC
rnacentral:rRNA from 1 species